GAUGAACGCUGGCGGCGUGCCUAAUACAUGCAAGUCGAACGCACAGCGAAAGGUGCUUGCACCUUUCAAGUGAGUGGCGAACGGGUGAGUAACACGUGGACAACCUGCCUCAAGGCUGGGGAUAACAUUUGGAAACAGAUGCUAAUACCGAAUAAAACUUAGUGUCGCAUGACACAAAGUUAAAAGGCGCUUUGGCGUCACAUAAGAUGGACUCCGGCGGUG
rnacentral:rRNA from 1 species